UACGUAGGGGGCAAGCGUUGUCCGGAUUUAUUGGGCGUAAAGAGCGUGUAGGCGGCCGUACAGGUCAGCUGUGAAAACUCGAGGCUCAACCUCGAGACGUCGGUUGAAACCGUACGGCUAGAGUCCGGAAGAGGGGAGUGGAAUUCCCGGUGUAGCGGUGAAAUGCGCAGAUAUCGGGAAGAACACCCGUGGCGAAGGCGGCUCUCUGGGAAACAACUGACGCUGAGGAACGAAAGCGUGGGUAGCAAACAGG
rnacentral:rRNA from 1 species